rnacentral:rRNA from 1 species
GACGAACGCUGGCGGCGUGCUUAACACAUGCAAGUCGAACGGAAAGGCCCUGCUUUUGUGGGGUGCUCGAGUGGCGAACGGGUGAGUAACACGUGAGUAACCUGCCCUUGACUUUGGGAUAACUUCAGGAAACUGGGGCUAAUACCGGAUAGGAGCUCCUGCUGCAUGGUGGGGGUUGGAAAGUUUCGGCCGUUGGGGAUGGACUCGCGGCCUAUCAGCUUGUUGGUGGGGUAGUGGCUUACCAAGGCUUUGACGGGUAGCCGGCCUGAGAGGGUGACCGGCCACAUUGGGACUGAGAUACGGCCCAGACUCCUACGGGAGGCAGCAGUGGGGAAUAUUGCACAAUGGGCGGAAGCCUGAUGCAGCAACGCCGCGUGCGGGAUGACGGCCUUCGGGUUGUAAACCGCUUUCGCCUGUGACGAAGCGUGAGUGACGGUAAUGGGUAAAGAAGCACCGGCUAACUACGUG